AUUGAACGCUGGCGGAAUGCUUUACACAUGCAAGUCGAACGGCAGCACGGGGGCAACCCUGGUGGCGAGUGGCGAACGGGUGAGUAAUACAUCGGAACGUGCCCAGUCGUGGGGGAUAACGUAGCGAAAGUUACGCUAAUACCGCAUACGAUCUACGGAUGAAAGCGGGGGACCGUAAGGCCUCGCGCGAUGGAGCGGCCGAUGUCGGAUUAGGUAGUUGGUGAGGUAAAGGCUCACCAAGCCGACGAGCUGUAGCUGGUCUGAGAGGACGACCAGCCACACUGGGACUGAGACACGGCCCAGACUCCUACGGGAGGCAGCAGUGGGGAAUUUUGGACAAUGGGCGCAAGCCUGAUCCAGCCAUUCCGCGUGCAGGACGAAGGCCUUCGGGUUGUAAACUGCUUUUGUACGGAACGAAAAGGCUCUGGUUAAUACCUGGGGCUCAUGACGGUACCGUAAGAAUAAGCACCGGCUAACUACGUGCCAGCCGCCGCUGUAA
rnacentral:rRNA from 1 species